CGGAGAGGUCCCCGCAAUGUCGACCAGCCCCCAAGGGUCUGUGAGGUUUGGGGGGCACCCUGGUUCUUGAAAGGAAUGACGGUAGGGGGAGUGAUUCAUUUCUGGUUUGAUGAGGUUUCAGGGUGGCAUCAGAAGUCUGGGUCUUUGAUUGGGUUGGUCCGUAGCAGAGGGGCAAGUGUGAGAAGGAGAGGAUAGUGAAAGGGGGAUCUCUUAUUCUCUCUGGGUCUCAGUGUCUCUCCCAGGAUGAAGCCUGCACCGGCAGUGGAAGCAGGGAAGAGGUCAUUGGAGAAAGUCCCCAUAUACACACCCUGUCCCAGCCCAUCAUUGUCACUGUGCCCCAACCCCUCCAUAGACCCCCUCGCAUUCCCCCUGAUCAGUCACAAGCGAGGCUGGGCCAGGUCCUCCAUCCUGACCCACAAACCCCAGGCUGUGGGGGCCUGGACCCUGCCCCAGUUGUGGCCAUCGCUGUCUCUGCCUUUGUCUUGGGGGCUGCCCUCACUGCCGGCUUGGGUCUGAUCUAUGUGCAUACAGGUAUGAGG
rnacentral:lncRNA from 1 species